GGUGAAAAGAACAAAGUUUUGUCCAUCUUUGUUCAUAAUAGCCUAAAGUUAGAGAAGAGAAAGAAGAGGAGAAAGCUCUUGAAUGUUCGGUCACUUGGGGAAGAAAAUUGAAGGUAAGUUCAUGGUAGUUUGCUUUUAUUUUGAGGUUCAUGAGUUCUUCUUGAUUCUACCUUAACUCUUGAGGCAUAUUUUGGUUUUUAGUUGUGUUGUGAGCAUUUAGUCAUGAAUUAAAAUGAAGGAAAUGGUUGUUGUUUCAUGUUCUUUUGAUGAAAAAUGGAAGAUAGGUGAAGUUGAGCCAAACAAAUGAGCAUGCAUGUGCCUUAGAUGCUAAAGGGAAAAAUCGGCUAACAUGUUGUGCUUUAAAAUGAUGAAAUGGAGACUAUACUUAAGUUAACUCAUAGAUAUGUGAUGAUUGAUUCGUGAUAUACAUGUUUAAAUAACAUGCAUGCAAGUUAAGUGUGAAAGAGUGAUUUGGUAAUAAAUCUGCUUGGGACAGCAGCAGUAACGUGACUUUGGAAAAUCACCAUAAAUUGUGGGAGAUGAAUUAGAAGCUAAAUAAAUUAUAUAAUUAAAGCUUAAUGAGUCUAUUUUCAAAUGAAAUAAGCAAGAACAUAUUUUGAAUUCUGUACAAUGAGAAAUUUGAUUCGUAAUGAAGAGUGGUCAGAUUAGUCAAACAGUGAAACAUGGGAAACUUUAAGAAAAAUCUGGUAUUGAUUGGAUAAACCAAAAAUUAUGAAAAUUUUAUGGAUAGAAGAUAUAUGAGUCUAUUUUCAGGUAAAAUUAACGGCACUUGAUUUGGAGUUUCGUAGCUCCAGUUAUAAAUGAUUUAGUGACUGUUGCUCAGGAAGACAGCUUGCAGUGAAAUUAUGAUUAUGUGGUAAACACUGACAAAAAUUUGUUAAUGAGUUGCUUAUUGAUUUCUUAUAAGCUUACUCUGAUCUGUAGGUGUGGUUGGCCGAAUAUUGUAAGGGGUUAAUACGUAGUUCGUAUUUGAAUAGUUAGAUUAAUGUGUUAAUAAUCCAAUUGUAGGCAGUUCGUGUGUGGAUCUCGUCAGCAUAUCGUCGCAAACAAGUGUGUAACUAACACCCUCUUUCUUAGUCUGGAUCGGCAAAAGUCGAAAAGCCGAAAUGCCGAAAACCGAUAUUUUGUAGAUUUGCGGGUGUACGAAUGCUCGUGAGGUAAAUCGAUUAAUGUUUUUGGUAAGCUGCAAAAUUUGGAAUGCAAAGUGCAUGAUUUCUGUGCCCUCGAUAUUUUUGGGCUUAAUGGGCCAAAAUUGGAAUGAUGGGCCAACGGGCCCAAUCGGUAAGAACCCUCGGUACGUGAUUCUGUUAGUACGUGAAAAGUAAGAAUACGUAAGAAAAACCCUAAAAUAGAUAAAUUACUGAAAUACCUUUAAAAGUGGAAAAUUUACAGUUUUACCCUUAGUAGAUAAAUUACUGAAAUACCCCUAGGGUUAAAUUGACCUAAAUGCAUGUUUGACUGUUGUUAUUUACUGCAUGCCAUGUUGUUAUUAUCUGAUGCAUGGGAUUGGGAUAUUAACGGAGGAAGUACUGAAAGUGGCUUGUCCACGUACUGGAGGCUUUGCCUCAAUUUACUGUUAACUGAGCAGCAAGGCUGCAACUGUGGAGUGUUGGGCUGGGUGGGUUGAGCUAUUCCCCACAUGGAGUGUAGGGCUGGUAGGGUGGAGUGUAGUGGUUGGUGGGUUGAGUAGUCUCCCCAAAUGGGCUUGCAUAUGUUAUUGAUGUUGCAUGUAUUUUGAAAUGGGCCUAUGGGCCAUACUGUUAUCUGAAUAAGGGGCUAAGGCCCAGUUUAUUGUAAUCUGAAAAGGGCUCUGGUCCAGUACCACUGUUACCUGAAUGGGCUUAGGCCCAAUAGGCUUGAGCUGACUUAGGCUUUGAAUGGGUUUUCCUUACACACUGAGUUUCCCCAAACUCACCCCUUUUAUUUUCAUCCACGCAGGAAAUCCCCAACCAUAGUGGGCUUGGAGCUGUGAGGGAAUUCGGAGUGGCCAUCCGUUCUGAAAGUUUGGUUUUCUUCUGGUGAACUGGACAUCCUAUUAUUUACGUUUGAAGUUUUGGGCUUUUUAAAUGUAAUAAGGCCGCUUAAUUAUUUUUGAUGGUUU
rnacentral:lncRNA from 1 species